UGCAAGUCGAGUGCGCGGUUGUAGCAAUACAACUGGCGCACGGCGCACGGGUGCGUAACACGUGGGUAAUCUGCCCUCUGAUGGGGAAUAACUCGCCGAAAGGCGAGCUAAUACCGCAUAACAUUCCUUGGACUCCGGUUCGAGGACUCAAAGGCGUAAGUCGUCGGAGGUGGAGCCCGCGCACGAUUAGCUAGUUGGUAGGGUAAUGGCCUACCAAGGCUAUGAUCGUUAGCUGGUCUGAGAGGAUGGCCAGCCACACUGGAACUGAGACACGGUCCAGACUCCUACGGGAGGCAGCAGUGGGGAAUCUUGCGCAAUGGGCGAAAGCCUGACGCAGCGACGCCGCGUGGGGGAUGAAGCUUCUCGGAGUGUAAACCCCUUUCGACCGGGACGAAUACCUCGCAAGAGGGGUGACGGUACCGGUAUAAGAAGCCCCGGCUAACUACGUGCCAGCAGCCGCGGUAAGACGUAGGGGGCCAGCGUUGCUCGGAAUUACUGGGUGUAAAGGGUUCGUAGGCGGUGUGGCAAGUCGGGAGUGAAAUCUCUGGGCUUAACUCAGGGGCUGCUUCCGAAACUGCCGUGCUAGAGUGUGGGAGGGGCGCGUGGAAUUGCAGGUGUAGCGGUGAAAUGCGUAGAUAUCUGCAGGAACACCCGUGGCGAAAGCGGCGCGCUGGACCACUACUGACGCUGAGGAACGAAAGCUAGGGGAGCAAACAGGAUUAGAUACCCUGGUAGUCCUAGCCCUAAACGAUCAGGACUUGGGGUGCACCCGUUCGGGUGUCGUCCCGGAGCUAACGCGUUAAGUCCUGCACCUGGGGAGUACGGUCGCAAGACUGAAACUCAAAGG
rnacentral:rRNA from 1 species